ACAAAGAAGUUGUUUAAAUGGUUUUAAAUUCAUGCACUAAACUGAAAAAACGCCCUAACAUUAGCAACAAAAUUUAUGACUACAAUCGCGGUUAAGAUUCUGACAGAGAAAUAAGAGGAUGCAAAAUUGGGAGAAGGAGAAAG